GCGGCAUGCCUUACACAUGCAAGUCGAACGGCAGCACGGGUGCUUGCACCUGGUGGCGAGCGGCGAACGGGUGAGUAACACGUGGGAACCUUCCUAGGGGUACGGAACAACUCAGGGAAACUUGAGCUAAUACCGUAUACGUCCGUGAGGAGAAAGAUUUAUCGCCCUUAGACGGGCCCGCGUCGGAUUAGCUAGUUGGUGGGGUAACGGCCUACCAAGGCGACGAUCCGUAGCUGAUCUUAGAGGAUGAUCAGCCACACUGGGACUGAGACACGGCCCAGACUCCUACGGGAGGCAGCAGUGGGGAAUCUUGGACAAUGGGCGCAAGCCUGAUCCAGCCAUGCCGCGUGAGUGAAGAAGGUCUUCGGAUUGUAAAGCUCUUUUGCCAGGGACGAUAAUGACGGUACCUGGAGAAUAAGCCCCGGCAAACUUCGUGCCAGCAGCCGCCGUAA
rnacentral:rRNA from 1 species